rnacentral:rRNA from 1 species
UACGUAGGGAGCAAGCGUUGUUCGGAUUCACUGGGCGUAAAGGGUGCGCAGGCGGCCGUGUGUGUUGGGCGUGAAAGCCCGGGGCUUAACCCCGGAAUUGCACUCAAAACUACAUGGCUAGAGCAUUGGAGAGGGUAGCGGAAUUCACGGUGUAGCAGUGAAAUGCGUAGAUAUCGUGAGGAACACCAGAGGCGAAGGCGGCUACCUGGACAAUUGCUGACGCUCAGGCACGAAAGCGUGGGGAGCAAAAGGG